UACGUAGGGUGCGAGCGUUAAUCGGAAUUACUGGGCGUAAAGCGUGCGCAGGCGGUUUUAUAAGCCAGAUGUGAAAGCCCCGGGCUCAACCUGGGAAUGGCAUUUGGGACUGUAAGGCUGGAGUAUGGCAGAGGAGACUAGAAUUCCUGGUGUAGCAGUGAAAUGCGUAGAUAUCAGGAGGAAUACCGAUGGCGAAGGCAGGUCUCUGGGCCAAUACUGACGCUCAUGCACGAAAGCGUGGGAGCAAACAGG
rnacentral:rRNA from 1 species